rnacentral:rRNA from 1 species
GACGAACGCUGGCGGCGUGCCUAUACAUGCAAGUCGAGCGGACGAACUUUUGGUGCUUGCACCAAAUUUUCGUUAGCGGCGGACGGGUGAGUAACACGUGGGUAACCUACCUUAUAGAUUGGGAUAACUCCGGGAAACCGGGGCUAAUACCGAAUAACACUUUUUAACACAUGUUUUAAAGUUGAAAGACGGUCUUGCUGUCACUAUAAGAUGGACCCGCGGCGCAUUAGCUAGUCGGUGAGGUAACGGCUCACCAAGGCAACGAUGCGUAGCCGACCUGAGAGGGUGAUCGGCCACACUGGGACUGAGACACGGCCCAGACUCCUACGGGAGGCAGCAGUAGGGAAUCUUCCACAAUGGACGAAAGUCUGAUGGAGCAACGCCGCGUGAGUGAAGAAGGAUUUCGGUUCGUAAAACUCUGUUGCAAGGGAAGAACAAGUAGCGUAGUAACUGGCGCUACCUUGACGUACCUUGUUAGAAAGCCACGCU